GACGAACGCUGGCGGCGUGCCUAAUACAUGCAAGUAGGACGCAGUUGCGAACGGGUGAGUAACGCGUAGGUAACUACCUAUUAGAGGGGGAUAACUAUUGGAAACGAUAGCUAAUACCGCAUACUAGUAGAUGGACCUGCGUUGUAUUAGCUAGUAGGUAGGGUAAUGGCCUACCUAGGCAACGAUACAUAGCCGAACCGGGGAGGGGAUCGGCCAACCUGGGACCGGAGCACGGCCCCGACUCCUACGGGAGGGAGCAGUAGGGAAUCUUCGGCAAUGGGGGGAAACCUGAACGAGCAAAGCCGCGGGAGUGAAGAAAGUUUUCGGAUCGGAAAGCUCUGUUGUUAAGGAAGCGGUACUUAACCAGAAAGGGACGGCUAACUACGUGCCAGCAGCCGCGGUAAUAC
rnacentral:rRNA from 1 species